rnacentral:rRNA from 1 species
AUACGUAGGUGGCGAGCGUUGUCCGGAAUUACUGGGCGUAAAGGAUGCGUAGGUGGAUACUUAAGUGGGAUGUGAAAUCCCCGGGCUCAACCCGGGAACUGCAUUCCAAACCGGGUAUCUAGAGUGCAGGAGAGGAAAGCGGAAUUCCUAGUGUAGCGGUAAAAUGCGUAGAUAUUAGGAGGAACACCGGUGGCGAAGGCGGCUUUCUGGACAGUAACUGACGCUGAGGCGCGAAAGCGUGGGGAGCAAACAGGAUUAGAUACCCUGGUAGUCCACGCCAUAAACGAUGAAUACUAGGUGUAGGGGGUAUCGACCCCCUCUGUGCCGACGUUAACACAUUAAGUAUUCCACCUGGGGAGUACGGCCGCAAGGCUGAAACUCAAAUGAAUUGACGGGG